rnacentral:rRNA from 1 species
UGGGGGAUAUUGCACAAUGGGCGAAAGCCUGAUGCAGCGACGCCGCGUGGGGGAUGAAGGCUUUCGGGUUGUAAACCUCUUUCGCUAUCGAACAAGGCCCGCUUAGGGUGGGUUGAGGGUAGGUGGAGAAGAAGCGCCGGCUAACUACGUGCCAGCAGCCGCGGUAAUACGUAGGGCGCGAGCGUUGUCCGGAAUUAUUGGGCGUAAAGGGCUUGUAGGCGGCUUGUUGCGCCUGCUGUGAAAACGCGGGGCUUAACUUCGCGCGUGCAGUGGGUACGGGCAGGCUUGUGUGUGGGAGGGGUGACUGGAAUUCCAGGUGUAGCGGUGGAAUGCGCAGAUAUCUGGGGGAACACCGAUGGCGAAGGCAGGUCACUGGGCCAUUACUGACGCUGAGGAGCGAAAGCAUGGGUAGCGAACAGG